CAGAGGCUUUGUCCGGUGCUCGUCGUAUGCCAUCGCUCUCCACCGCACUCCGGUCACUGCCCUUAUGGUUCCGACAGGGUUUAACAACCACCACAGUCACCGUGAUUAUUCCACACAAAAGGCUAUACCGCAAUUACUCUUCUUUUUCAACACAAAAGGCGGGGGAGGGGACGAGAGGGGCGAGAUUGGAACUCAGAGGGGCAGAACCCGAGUUAGUUGGCGGUUUCCUUGGUCUUAGCCCUUUGUCCUUUCUCUAGACUUGAGUGGGAUCCCUAUCUACCGGGAAAAAGACGGGGAAAUGAAACACUCCUUAGCCAAAGUCUGCCCCACGGGACACGACUGCAUCUCCUUCCCCACUUACGGCACAGACUUUGGAACUGGAGUGGCAGUCGCCAAGGAACUCUCUGGCCUUCCUCUCUUCCUACUCGCCCGUACCAUCUGACCUUUUGUUACGACAGAGGAGCUCCUGGGAAUGCAAAAAUAUCCCUCCAGAGAUGUGAAAGGGAAAAUACAUAUCCUCCACCGCUUCUCCGAUGCUCCUUUCAAUUCUGUUUCUAAUGAAGACUCGUCAAUUGGUCAGGAGGCCUCUGUUCUCCUCUGGGCAUCCCUUAACAAGUGGGCGUUAGUACUUCCUCUGAGAGAGUGAAAGAGCCAGAGCCUCUGAGCCCCUGGUGACUUGCUCUAGACUGGAGUUGCCCACAGGAGGAUCUGGGCAGGGGAAAGUACUUCUGUUCACGAAUGCCUAUGGAGAGACAAGGCAGUUCCAGCCCCAUCAUGAAUUACAGAUCCAGAUUCCUCUAGAAACAGAACCUGGAGGGGGUCCUGACAGGAGAAACUAAAGGUAAAGGAACAGAAAUUGAGGACUUUUGUACUCCUGUUCUGCCAGGGCUUUGGGCUGGUGCACUUUUUAGUAAUCUUAAAAUUAUAUUUUCUAGUCUUUCCAUGCAUGUUUUUAUGCCUCAGAAGAGUAAUUCUGUUCUUCUUUUGUGGGAAGAAUUAGUUUGCAACCCAUAUCCAGGGCAAAAACAGUGUUUCUCUACCAUUGUUCCAAGUGUAUAAGAAAAAAAACGCUUUGUUGAUUAAAGAAGCUUUUAAAGGCUGAA